AUUGAACGCUGGCGGCAUGCCUUACACAUGCAAGUCGAACGGUAACAGGUCUUCGGAUGCUGACGAGUGGCGAACGGGUGAGUAAUACAUCGGAACGUGCCCAGUAGUGGGGGAUAACUACUCGAAAGAGUGGCUAAUACCGCAUGAGAUCUACGGAUGAAAGCAGGGGAUCGCAAGACCUUGUGCUACUAGAGCGGCCGAUGGCAGAUGAGGGAGUUGGUGGGAUAAAAGCUUACCAAGCCGACGAUCUGUAGCUGGUCUGAGAGGACGAUCAGCCACACUGGGACUGAGACACGGCCCAGACUCCUACGGGAGGCAGCAGUGGGGAAUUUUGGACAAUGGGCGAAAGCCUGAUCCAGCAAUGCCGCGUGCAGGAUGAAGGCCUUCGGGUUGUAAACUGCUUUUGUACGGAACGAAAAGCCCCGGGUUAAUACCCUGGGGUCAUGACGGUACCGUAAGAAUAAGCACCGGCUAACUACGUGCCAGCCGCCGCGGUAA
rnacentral:rRNA from 1 species